rnacentral:rRNA from 1 species
UACGUAGGGUGCGAGCGUUGUCCGGAAUUAUUGGGCGUAAAGGGCUCGUAGGCGGUCUGUUGCGUCAGGAGUGAAAACUCGGGGCUUAACCCCGGGCCUGCAGUGGAUACGGGCUGGCUAGAGGCAGGCAGGGGAGAACGGAAUUCCGUGGUGUAGCGGUGAAAUGCGCAGAUAUCAAGAGGAACACCAGUGGCGAAGGCGAGUCCCUGGACAACACCUGACACUGAGCACGAAAGCUAGGGGAGCAAACAGG